rnacentral:rRNA from 1 species
UACGAAGGGGGGCUAGCGUUGUUCGGAUUUACUGGGCGUAAAGCGCACGUAGGCGGAUCGUUAAGUCAGGGGUGAAAUCCUGGAGCUCAACUCCAGAACUGCCUUUGAUACUGGCGAUCUUGAGUCCGGAAGAGGUGAGUGGAACUCCUAGUGUAGAGGUGGAAUUCGUAGAUAUUAGGAAGAACACCAGUGGCGAAGGCGGCUCACUGGUCCGGUACUGACGCUGAGGUGCGAAAGCGUGGGGAGCAAACAAGG